rnacentral:rRNA from 1 species
UGGAAUCGCUAGUAAUCGCGGAUCAGAAUGCCGCGGUGAAUACGUUCCCGGGCCUUGUACACACCGCCCGUCACACCAUGGGAGUCGGUAACACCCAAAGUUGGUAGUCUAACCGCAAGGAGGACGCCGCCUAAGGUGGGAUUGAUGACUGGGGUGAAGUCGUAACAAGGUAUC